rnacentral:rRNA from 1 species
CUGGUUGAUCCUGCCAGUAGUCAUAUGCUUGUCUCAAAGAUUAAGCCAUGCAUGUCUAAGUACAUACCUUUGCACGGUGAAACCGCGAAUGGCUCAUUAAAUCAGUUAUGGUUCCUUAGAUCGUUCUUUUUACAUGGAUAACUGUGGUAAUUCUAGAGCUAAUACAUGCAAAAAGCUCCGACCGUAUGGGAAGAGCGCUUUUAUUAGACCAAAACCAAUGGGGUCGCAAGAUCCCUCAAAUUGGUGACUCUGGAUAACUUUGUGCUGAUCGCAUGGCCUAGAGCCGGCGACGUAUCUUUCAAGUGUCUGCCCUAUCAACUUUCGAUGGUAAGCGAUUUGCCUACCAUGGUUGUAACGGGUAACGGGGAAUCAGGGUUCGAUUCCGGAGAGGGAGCAUGAGAAAUGGCUACCACAUCUACGGAAGGCAGCAGGCGCGCAAAUUACCCACUCCUAGAACGGGGAGGUAGUGACGAAAAAUAACAAUACCGGACUCAUAGAGGCUCGGUAAUUGAAAUGAGUACAGUUUAAAACCCUUAACGAGGAUCUAUUGGAGGGCAAGUCUGGUGCCA